GACACGCGGAUGAGAAAAAUAUCAUUAUAAAUAUCGCCUACUGUCUAGUUCGUACUCAAAGUUACCGAAAGUCUUUGUGCCGCCGAAGUGUGUAUAGCUUAGUCAGUUACAAAGUGUAGCAAACAAUUGUGUUAUCAAGUUGAAUCAAUUACCAUCAGAAUUCGCGUCGAAAAUACAUAAUUUAUGCAUUCACUUCUCGAUUCAUCGUUCAAACUUGAUAUAAAACAGUGAAAGCCUAAGUAUGUCUAACUACAGCCUGGUUUUAAUAUUUUACGCUCUGAUCUUGUUGACUCACAUAUCAAAAGGAAUUGGUUUGAAAUGUUACGAGUGCUCGGCAAACAGUACAGAUUUCGACGCUGCAACAAAUAAUUGUUUUGAUGGGAACGAGAAAGACCUCCCUAUAAAGGAAUACACACCUAUUUCUGAAGAGUAUAGAGCGGUAUGUGGCAUCGUCAAACGUCGAUUGGGAGAUGGAUAUGAAUUGAGCCGAGGUGGAUAUAAUAAUCUGCCCAGAUAUAUUAAAAAUGAAGUUAUUUGCAAAACGAUUGCCAAAAAAAAUUCUCCUGAUGGCUUUGAAUGUGACGUUUGUAGGACAGAUCUCUGCAAUGGCAACCAGACCAGUAGACAGAGCGACACAGAUGACAAGGCUGGUGAAAUUAUUGGCCUUUUUGUGGCGGUGGCGUACAUAAAUAGAAACACAAAUAAAAAAAAUGUUUCAACUUAUUUCUCAUCCCAACAUCGACCCUGAUCCCUUAAAAUCCUUGUGAAAGAUAGAUAAAAAUGAUUAUUUAAAAGAUGUGUACUACAGUAAUAUAAAAAAGGUCGAAAAUUACAAAUUUAAACAACUAAAUUAAUAUAAUUGUAAUCUACGUUCAGAAGUUUUGUUGUUUUGGGUUGUCUUGGGAAAUUUUUUCGAAAAACUAGAAUUUUCAAAAUAUUAGCGGUGAUUUUGAAACAGCCGAUGAGAAGCCCUUCGCAAGUGCAUCGGCUGCCUCGUAAAUCUCCCCACAUAUCUACCUGCAACCUGUAAUGCCAGGGAGUGACAAAAUACAGUAAUCUGUAUUACUGUGAACGAGGUUUACAAUUUACAUUGAGAGUAUAGUUGUAUGGUGUGGCAAAUGUCGCAGUGUAGGAACAUAAACGAGUCAAUCAACUCCAUCAAGUAAUUAAAAAAUAUUCUAUAGAAACAAAAGACGUGGUAAAAAGACAGAGCAGCGGUCACUUACGAAAAAAAUUUGCACUGAGGUAAUCUUGGUCAGAAAUUCAAUCGCAAAUACAGAGCUUUUACGUGCAAUUGUGCAUUGUUUAUUGUAUUAAUUGAGUAAUACAAUGUGCUUUUAAUGUCGCAUAGGAAUAUAUAAUAAUAAAUGCUUAUUUGAUUUACGUUGGCACACGGAUGAAAAAAAAAUUAUUAUAAAUAUCGCCUACUGCCUGGUUCUUACUCGAAGUUACCGAAAGUUUUUGUGCCGCCGAAGUGUGUAUAGCUUACUCUUAGUCAGUUACAAAGUGUAGCAAACAAGUGUUAUCAAGUAAGAAAUUACUCAGCUUUUGAGGCUAGAAUAGUUCAACGAGUACAACUCGAACCAAGAAAAUACGGGAUACCUUUGGAUAUAAUAGAACCGGUUCAUAUUUUGUUAAAGUACGAGUAAUAUCGGAUGAGAAUUAAUGUACCUGAUUCAAGAGCAAAAUUUUCGAUAAAAGAAAAGAAUAUGAAUUUUUGAGAACUUUUUAACAUUUGGUUGAAUAAAUUACACUUUAUUAUAGAAUUCGCGUCGAAAAUAGUUUGUACAUUAAUUUCUCGAUUCAUCGUUCAAAGUUGGUUAUAUCACUAAACCAGUGAAAGCCAUGAGUAUGUGUUGCUACAGUCCGUUUUUAAUAUUUUACGCUUUGAUCUUGUUGACUCAAAUAUCAAAAGGAAAUGGUUUGAAAUGUUAUGAGUGCCAAGCAUACAGCCAAGAUUUGGACCCUCAAACAAAUAAGUGUUUUGAUGGGAACGCAACAGAGAACGUGAAUUUUAAGAUCCCUAUAAAGGAAUACACACCUGAUGUAGAAGGGUAUAGAGCAGCAUGUGCCAUCUUCAGUCGUCGAGUGGGAGAUGGAUCUGACUUCAGGCGAAUGGGAGUUCCCGGUGUGCCCAAUUAUGUCAAAACUGAAGUUCUUUGCGAUUGGUUUUUGAUCGGAAAAAAACGUCCUGCAGGCUUUUCUUGUGAAUUUUGUGAGACAGAUCUCUGCAAUAGCCGCCAGAUCAGUAGACAGAACUACACAGAUGACAAGGCUGGUGACAUUUCACACCAGGCUGGCCUUUUUGUAGUGCUCGGGUACGCAAACACACAAAAAAAAAUUGUUUCAACUUCUCCCCCAACCCCGCCGCCGCCGCCGCCGCCGCCACCACCACCACCACCAUCACCCCCACGCCAACCCCGACCCCUUAAAAACCUUGUAAAACAUGGAUAUUAAUGAUUAUUUAUGUGUACUACCGUAAUAUAGAAAGUCAAACAUUACAAAUUUAAACAACUAAACUAAUAUAUAUAAUUGUAACCUA